AUGCUCACCUGGCAGGGAGAUACCAUGAUCAAGAAGGUGGUUUUCCCAGGACAAGACUUACCCAUUGCACUCCAGAUGUGCUGACCCCUGCGAUGUCCCCAAAUGUAGGAAACUAGACUGCAUAUUUUGUGGUAGUAGGGGUGUUGUGUUCACGCUCUCCCCUG